GGCGGAGAACAAUGUACGUGCACAUUCCUGGACUACAGCAGGACCCACUCGGUGGGCAAUCCCCGGUUGAGUGGCGGCCUCCACAAACACAGGCAGUCUGAGCUAUGUGGGCCAAAUCAAACAGAUGUGCAAACCAUAUUCAGCCGUGCAGCUGCCCCCUGAAACUCAUCUUUGAGAUGGUGGUGUGGACCUCACUUUGUCAUUUACAUUUUAGUUGGUGCCAUCAUGACUUGAGAUUCGUGGAGCUGGGAACCUGGGACAUGGAAUGUGGAAGUAUUAGUCACUGCCCUCAAGGAGCUGUGAGUCCAGUGCAAGAGACCAAGUCAAAUUUCUCCCAGCUUGCGGUUGGCAUCAAGGAUGAUGGCCAAUGGAAUUUGGACAGAUUUGCAGACUUUGAAGAUGUUUCAGCAAUGCAGUAAAAGGCAGGUCUUUGCCACAACAAAAGGCAGAAAUAUCACCGAGGAGUAAACAGAAUUCCUUGGCCUCCUCCGAGCAUGUGUCAACAUCUUUUUCUUCCCCUUCCCCCGCUCUUCUUUUUUUUUUUUUUUUUUCCUGCAGAUUCAGGGCUUGUUGGGGAGGGCGCCUCCCAGGCACUGAUGGGGUGGGCCCUGGGCCGCCCCGAAUUCGGCAGCUCCGCCUCAGAACAGAUGCCGGGGCUUUGGUAAACUGAGAAAGCGUAACUGCUGCAAGCCGCCCUCCUGACGGCCACAAUUACCCACAUGGAAAAGCCAUUCCUCGCUCCCAGCCCCCUCGCCCUGCCCCUGGCACACACAUGUGCGUGCCGCGGCUCCACAAGCAGGCCUUCCCAGAACGAAAAUGUAUGUGACAUGUACAAAACGGCUUGAUUUCCACUGAUGGCUGGAAAUUGAAUGGAUUUGAAAUGCACACGCUUAAAAACAAUUUCGGCGGAAAGCAUACCCAUUUAAUAUUGCGUCUCCAAAUGAGGCCUCGCUCCCCAGGCAGGCUUGUAACGUGAUGAAAACCAGCAGUCAGACCCCACCUGGGACCCCCACUCACCAAGGACACGGGACCCGGGGGCAGGGUGUGGAUGUAAGUGUGUGUGAGUGUGUGAGUCGGCAAGUACGUGUGUGUGUACAAGUAUACAGCAGUAUGAGUGCAUGUGUGUGUGUGUGUGUCUGUGUGUGUGUGAAGGGAUAGAAGGAGGGGCAAGAUGUUGCCCUUCCAUACUUUUUCAAGUCAGCCCGUGUCACCUGAGCACUUACUUUGUGCCUGCAAGGGGGAGCGGGGAGAGUGUUGAUCACAGGAAAGGAGAGGUCAUGGCCUUUCAGAGCUUAUAGGCUAUUUGAGACACUGAAACCAAGUCAAGGAAAUAAUUGAAGAGCAAGCCAAGACCAUUUUUAAAUGUUGAACUGGAGAGGGGAAAGGGAAAUUAAUGGAUUAAGCAUAAACUGGGCAUUGGUUUGGAAUCACAAAGAACAUCUGAGCUGAAACUGUCAUGGGUAUGGAUUCAUUCCUACCAUUUCCUGACUGUGAGACCUUGAGCAAGUCACUUCUCUCUGGGCCUCAGUUUUCUCGCUGGUAAAAUGGGUCUAAUAAGACAUAUUGCAUUCAUGGAAAGAUUAAAAAGAUUGUGCAUUAACUGGGCCCCCGGGUGGCAGUCAGUCAAGCAUCUGACUCGGUUUUGGCUCAGGUCGUGAUCUCAGGGUCUUGGGAUCGAGCCCCACAUCAGGUUCUGCGUUCAGUGGGGAAGCUGCUUGUUCCUCUCCCUCCCCCUCUGUCCCUUCCCCUCUGCUCCUCCCCCUGCUCACAUGCUCUCUCUUUCUCUAAAAUAAAUAAAAACUUAAAAAAAAUAAAACAAUGUACACUAACCAACUCAUUGUGCCCACUGUAUGCCAAGUA